UACGGAGGGUGCAAGCGUUAUCCGGAUUCACUGGGCUUAAAGGGAGCGUAGGUGGGGUGGUAAGUCAGUGGUGAAAUCUCCGGGCUUAACUCGGAAACUGCCGUUGAUACUAUCAUUCUUGAAUAUUGUGGAGGUAAGCGGAAUAUGUCAUGUAGCGGUGAAAUGCUUAGAUAUGACAUAGAACACCGAUGGCGAAGGCAGCUUGCUGCACAAUUAUUGACACUGAGGCUCGAAAGCGUGGGGAUCAAACAGG
rnacentral:rRNA from 1 species